rnacentral:antisense_RNA from 1 species
UUUCACCGAGCCGAGCCACAACGGGCGUUCGGCGGGCCGGUCCUGCCCGUACGUGGCCACCAAGGCCUGCGCCUC